GGAAGCGGGACGCUGGGGCACCUGAGGCUGGGACCACCCGAGGCUGGGAACCGCCCAGCCCUGAAGGCGCCGUCGGAAGAAGUUGUGAGUGUGAAGUCCUGCGAAGGGCUGCAAAGGGCAGCACAGUUCCCGGCACUCUUCCAGUGCAACCAAAAAGCAGAUGCAAGGCCCAGUGAGAGAGUGUGGAUAAGGUAGAAGACCAGACUGGUCCAGUGGCUUCUAUUUCUUCAAAGAAGAAUGAAGCACAGAGAAUCAGAAAGACAGGAAUCAAGGACCAGAAGUCUGAAGAGAGAAGAGACUAGAGACAGUUAUGAAGAAUGAGAAGGCUGUGGUACAAAGGAAACCAGAGAGAUGUUGGCGACUGUAAGUACUAAUUUGUUGGCGAUGCACUGAUAGGGCAUUAGUUUUUGGAACUGUGCAUUAUGUACCUUAGAUUUGGGCACGUACCUGUCAGUAUGUGAUAGGAAUGGACCAUUACAUCAGACCUGUGUUGGGAGUGCAAGUGCCAACCCCUUCUCUGCUGUGAGAUGCAGCCCUACUUAGUUCCUGUGAUGAAACAGUCAUUCCAGAGGAGACAGGAUUAUGACGGCAAUGGAAACUUCAUUUCAGCCCUGGACUGAACAAAUGGAUAUGUGACAGAGAUGAGCUCGGCUCUUAGGACCCUGGUAUCUUCUGUCUCCCACGGAAAAUGCCUGUUGUAAGCAAGAAAACUCUCCAUUACUAAUGCACAUGUUUCCAGAAUAACAGAACAAAAAUGCCCUGUUAAAUUGCAGUCAAAAUGACUGUGAAUUCAAAUUUUAAAACUGCUAAAAAUAACUGUCAUGUUUUAAAUGGUGUCAGUAUAUUAGAAAUAUCUGUUUUGCUGAUUUUUAUGAAUGUAUAAAGUUUUUAAUGAAAAAAAUGAAAAAAUCAACUGUAGAAAUUGCUAGAGUUAAUUAUCUGUUAAUUAAUUAACAUUUUAUUAAUCUGGAUUUUGCUUGUGAUUUUUGCUUGUUUGUUUAUUUGUUUGUUGCACAUACACUAAAUAAGCAGAAUGGUGUUGCUAGGUAUAUGAAGACUAAACAAGUAGCCCCUCCCUAACAUUAUGAAGCUCACAGAGACAAAAUUUUUAUAUCUGUCUAGUUGAAGUAUUAUUUAUUUUAUCUAUGACCAGAUUCUAUAGAUUUAGCAAAUGAACAAUCUUUUCUCAUAUUUUAACUUUAUUGCCCUUUAGAACCAAUUUAGGUUAGGGGAGAUUAGGUGUAAUUUUGAGCUUGGGCAGUAGAGGGUAGCAAAGCAUCAGAAGGACUGCUUAAGAAUGCCUUUGUAGACCACCAUGCAGACAUUUUUCUAUACAUAGAAUUUCAAUGACUUUUCCUUUGGAGUCAAUGGCAUAUCUUAGCUAUAAAUAUAGGAAGUAUGUAAAUCUAUUCUUAUUAAAAUUCAUUCAUGAUUUGCCAAAAUACAUUUUAAAAUAAAUGUUUUACUGUUUUAUUAUUCUUUUUUAUGUUAUCCCUCUGUUAUAAUAUCAUGAAAACUGAUGAACUGAGGUCAAGCACUGCAUCAGUUUUCUCACAAAUGUUGCAGUUUAUCUGUCUUACUGGUGUCUUUCCAAGUUAACAAUCAAGUGAAAGCCAGCGAUAAGAACACCAUGCCAACUAUGGCUGUUGAAAGAAUAAUAUCCCCAUGUUGUCUGUGAGCAGCAUAUCUCCGCAGCGUGGAAUUUGAUAACCCUUUAUUUACAUCAGUUCCUUUGGCUAUACUUCAUAUAAACAAUAUCCACGUGACCAUAACAUUUCCAAAUGCAACUGUAGUGACGCGUUCUAUGUUAAACUAUUGCAUUUUCGAGAGAAGAGAAGCUUUUGCUGGCAGAGCAUGUUAUUUACAGUUGCUGUGGAAGUCCCCCCUGCUCACUUUCACUUUAGUAGGGCAUUGACUACAGUUGCUUAUGGAGCGCCCAGUGGAUCCUGAACUAGGGACAUUCAGAGAAAGAGGGGUUUUUGUUUGUUUGUUUGUUUGUUUGUUUGUUUGUUUGUUUGUUUUAAGUUGAGUUGAGACAUCUGUUUCUUGGAGCUGCUACAACAAACUACCAGAAACUGGGUGAUUUAAAGCAGAAAUUUAAGAGUUCAAGAGGCCAGAAGAUCAAAAUCAAGGUGGUCAGAAUCAGUUCCUGCUGGAGCCUCCAAGGGAGAAUGCACCGUAGACUUUUUCCUGGUUUCUCAUGGUUGCCAUAAGCCCCGACUUUCCUUGGCUCAUAGCCGCAUGGUUCUAAUCUUUGCCUCAUCACGCAUGGCAGUCACUCCAUGUGUCUGUUACUCUGUCUUCCCAUGGCCAAGAUCUCGUCAUUGGAUUAAAGGCUCACUCUAACCCAU